GACGAACGCUGGCGGCGCGCCUAACACAUGCAAGUCGAACGAGAGAUGAGGAGCUUGCUCUUCGAAUCGAGUGGCGAACGGGUGAGUAACGCGUGAGGAACCUGCCUCAAAGAGGGGGACAACAGUUGGAAACGACUGCUAAUACCGCAUAAGCCCACGGCUCGGCAUCGAGCAGAGGGAAAAGGAGCAAUCCGCUUUGAGAUGGCCUCGCGUCCGAUUAGCUAGUUGGUGAGGUAACGGCCCACCAAGGCGACGAUCGGUAGCCGGACUGAGAGGUUGAACGGCCACAUUGGGACUGAGACACGGCCCAGACUCCUACGGGAGGCAGCAGUGGGGAAUAUUGCACAAUGGGGGAAACCCUGAUGCAGCGACGCCGCGUGGAGGAAGAAGGUCUUCGGAUUGUAAACUCCUGUUGUUGAGGAAGAUAAUGACGGUACUCAACAAGGAAGUGACGGCUAACUACGUGCCAGCAGCCGCGGUAAAACGUAGGUCACAAGCGUUGUCCGGAAUUACUGGGUGUAAAGGGAGCGCAGGCGGGAGAACAAGUUGGAAGUGAAAUCCAUGGGCUCAACCCAUGAACUGCUUUCAAAACUGUUUUUCUUGAGUAGUGCAGAGGUAGGCGGAAUUCCCGGUGUAGCGGUGGAAUGCGUAGAUAUCGGGAGGAACACCAGUGGCGAAGGCGGCCUACUGGGCACCAACUGACGCUGAGGCUCGAAAGUGUGGGUAGCAAACAGGAUUAGAUACCCUGGUAGUCCACACCGUAAACGAUGAUUACUAGGUGUUGGAGGAUUGACCCCUUCAGUGCCGCAGUUAACACAAUAAGUAAUCCACCUGGGGAGUACGACCGCAAGGUUGAAACUCAAAGGAAUUGACGGGGGCCCGCACAAGCAGUGGAGUAUGUGGUUUAAUUCGACGCAACGCGAAGAACCUUACCAAGUCUUGACAUCCCUUGACGAUGCUGGAAACAGUAUUUCUCUUCGGAGCAAGGAGACAGGUGGUGCAUGGUUGUCGUCAGCUCGUGUCGUGAGAUGUUGGGUUAAGUCCCGCAACGAGCGCAACCCUUAUGGUCAGUUACUACGCAAGAGGACUCUGGCCAGACUGCCGUUGACAAAACGGAGGAAGGUGGGGAUGACGUCAAAUCAUCAUGCCCUUUAUGACUUGGGCUACACACGUACUACAAUGGCGUUAAACAAAGAGAAGCAAGACCGCGAGGUGGAGCAAAACUCAGAAACAACGUCCCAGUUCGGACUGCAGGCUGCAACUCGCCUGCACGAAGUCGGAAUUGCUAGUAAUCGUGGAUCAGCAUGCCACGGUGAAUACGUUCCCGGGCCUU
rnacentral:rRNA from 1 species